AUUGAACGCUGGCGGCAGGCUUAACACAUGCAAGUCGAGCGAGCGGCGGACGGGUGAGUAAUGUCUGGGAAACUUCCUGAUGGAGGGGGAUAACUACUGGGAACGGUAGCUGAUACCGCCUUCCAUCGGAUGUGCCCGGAUGGCAUUAGCUCGUGGGGGGGGUAAUGGCUUACCUAGACGAGGAUCCCUAGCUGGUCUGAGAGGAUGACCAGCAACACUGGAACUGAGAAACGGUCCAGACUCCUACGGGAGGCAGCAGGGGGGAAUAGUGCACAAUGGGCGAAAGCCUGAUGCAGCCAUGCCGCGUGUGUGAAGAAGGCCUGCGGGUUUUAAAGCACUUUCAGCGAGGAGGCGUUACUCGCAGAAGAAGCACCGGCUAACUCCGUGCCAGCAGCCGCGGUAAUUC
rnacentral:rRNA from 1 species